AAAUUUUUUAUUUGGGUGAAAACAUACAGAACUUAUCUGAACUAUAGAUCAUUUUAAAAGGUGUCAGACGUUGGUGGAUGAUGUUGGAUUUUAUUCAAUAAUAAAUUUUGACGAUAGCAAACAACUUUUGAAUUUAAUUUAUUACUUAGCAAUUUCAGGCUGUAGUUGAAUUUAAAGUGGCUCAAGUCGAACCGGAUUUGAUCAAAGGUAAUCAUUCAAUCAAAUUAUUCAAAUUCAUCCGGACAAGAUCAAAUUAUACCAAAUUGGAUGCAAGUGCCACAACAAUAAUUUGGAGGACUUCUUUACAAUUUAUCGAAUUUGAGCCGAUCAUCCUAGUCAAGUUAACCAACUCACCUUUUGGGUUUGAUUUGAGCUUAACGUCAAAUUAGCUAUUAUUUUAAUAUGAUAUGAAAGAGAUUUGAUAUAUGGUAUAAAUUUAAAAAUAAUUUUAUUAUAGCAUGAAUUUAAAAAAUAUGAAAUAUAAUAUAAAUAAGUUUUAUAUGUAUGGUAUUAUUUCGAAAGCUUUUACGAAUGUGAAAUGAAUUCAAAAGUUUUACAUUUUAGUAUUAAUUUAAAAGGAUUUUACGAAUUUGGUAUAAUUUUAAAUGAGUUUUUCAAUAUAGUAAUAUUUCAAAUAUGCUUUGUAAAUGUGAUAUGAAUUUAAAUUUAUUUUGGAAUUAAUUCAAAUGCAUUUGCAAAUAUGGUUAAAAUUUAAAUUAAAAUCAAUUAUCAUUUAAUUAUACUUUUGUUUCAUUUUUGAAAUGAUGGCUAAUGUAUUUAAGAGGGGGCUUGGAUAUUGUUUGGGAUAUAAUUUCAGAAAAAUUGUCUAUGUCCUAAUUGUUUAUUGAUCUGUAAUUGUGAGCUUCUUGCGAGAUUGUAAAAGAAGUUUUGUGUGAUUGUAAGCGGCUUUGAUCUUAUCUUGUUCAAAAGGUCAAGUGAGAGUGACAUCAGUAUCUCGAGAAGAAGAAGGAUCGGACUGGAAUAGCCAGAAAGACCGAACCAGAAUACAUCAUCUGUGUUAUCUGAGUUUGAUUUUUUUUAUUUGAUUGUGUAAUUUUUAUCUGAAUUUAAUUUUACUUAAGUUGAAAGUUGUCGACUAAUUCACCCCCGCUCUUAGGUGUCAUUUGAUCUUUCAAAUGAGAU
rnacentral:lncRNA from 1 species